AGUGAACGCUGGCGGUAGGCCUAACACAUGCAAGUCGAACGGCAGCACAGGAGAGCUUGCUCUCUGGGUGGCGAGUGGCGGACGGGUGAGGAAUACAUCGGAAUCUACUCUGUCGUGGGGGAUAACGUAGGGAAACUUACGCUAAUACCGCAUACGACCUACGGGUGAAAGCAGGGGACCUUCGGGCCUUGCGCGAUUGAAUGAGCCGAUGUCGGAUUAGCUAGUUGGCGGGGUAAAGGCCCACCAAGGCGACGAUCCGUAGCUGGUCUGAGAGGACGAUCUGCCACACUGGAACUGAGACACGGUCCAGACUCCUACGGGAGGCAGCAGUGGGGAAUAUUGGACAAUGGGCGCAAGCCUGAUCCAGCCAUACCGCGUGGGUGAAGAAGGCCUUCGGGUUGUAAAGCCCUUUUGUUGGGAAAGAAAUCCAGCUGGCUAAUACCCGGUUGGGAUGACGGUACCCGAAGAAUAAGCACCGGCUAACUUCGUGCCAGCCGCCGCCGUAA
rnacentral:rRNA from 1 species